rnacentral:rRNA from 1 species
CAUUACAGAGUUCAUGCCCCGCUGGGUAGAUCUCCCACCCGUGACAUCUCACACCUUUGUUGCUUUGGCGGGCUGCGGCACUGCUGCUGCCCGCCAGAGGCCCCAAACUCAGUACUCUUAGUGUUGUCCGAGUCCUAUAAAAAUAGUUAAAACUUUCAACAACGGAUCUCUUGGUUCUGGCAUCGAUGAAGAACGCAGCGAAAUGCGAUAAGUAAUGUGAAUUGCAGAAUUUAGUGAAUCAUCGAAUCUUUGAACGCACAUUGCGCCCUAUGGCAUUCCGUAGGGCAUGCCUGUUCGAGCGUCAUUGCAACCCUCAAGCGCUGCUUGGUCUUGGGCCCACCUGACGGGUGGGCCCCAAAUACAGUGGCAAGUGCUCCCGGGCCCUGAGCGUAGUACAUCUUCCGCUAUGGGGCCCUGGGAAGCGCGAGCCAGCAAUCCAUACUCCAAAAGUUGACCUCGG